rnacentral:rRNA from 1 species
AGUGAACGCUGGCGGUAGGCCUAACACAUGCAAGUCGAACGGCAACACAGGAGAGCUUGCUCUCUGGGUGGCGAGUGGCGGACGGGUGAGGAAUACAUCGGAAUCUACUUUUUCGUGGGGGAUAACGUAGGGAAACUUACGCUAAUACCGCAUACGACCUACGGGUGAAAGCAGGGGACCUUCGGGCCUUGCGCGAUUGAAUGAGCCGAUGUCGGAUUAGCUAGUUGGCGGGGUAAAGGCCCACCAAGGCGACGAUCCGUAGAUGGUCUGAGAGGAUGAUCAGCCACACUGGAACUGAGAAAAGGUCCAGACUCCUACGGGAGGCAGCAGUGGGGAAUAUUGGACAAUGGGCGCAAGCCUGAUCCAGCCAUACCGCGUGGGUGAAGAAGGCCUUCGGGUUGUAAAGCCCUUUUGUUGGGAAAGAAAUCCAGCUGGUUAAUACCCGGUUGGGAUGACGGUACCCAAAGAAUAAGCACCGGCUAACUUCGUGCCAGCAGCCGCAGUAA